rnacentral:lncRNA from 1 species
UCAAAGAUGCAACAUUUAGCAUGUAGGGAUGCUUCAGAGGUGAGUCUUCACAAAGGACCAAGUGAGUCCCGCUAGGUCUCAAUAUGAUGCAGAUAAACAUGACCUAAAGGCUGACCUACAUUGAGGUUUACUAACAAGGCCGUUUGGGGAGCAUAUGAUCGAUAGUGGCUGCUUUGCUUUUCGCCCACUCCAUACAUCCGGUGGCUCCCCCUCCUAAAAUAAGGGUGACUCAACUAUAAACAUGUAGCACGUAAGCACUCAACAAUGAUAAAAUAAACACAAACAAUAACACAAACAAUGUUUAUACACUCAUAAUGUCAAACUUAGCCGAUAAAACUCCAAAAAUAAGCUCAGAUUUUGAAAAGGAUCCCCAGCAGCGUCGCUAAAGCUAUCACACCCCCUUUUCAUCCAAAAAGAAUAUGAUUAAGAUCGAAAGGGUUUUUAAUUAUCAAAGUGACAAAAGAUGAAAGUUUGUUUUGAAAAAGGAUUGUUUAUAUUUUUUAUUGAGAGUCGUCACUUGACAUAAUCCGGUGUAUCAAGUCACCUUUUAAAGAUCCUUUUCAAAAUGAUUUUUGACGUUUUAAACUGGUUUGCGAACAGAGAUUCUGACUAAAGAAUUCUGUUGACCAAGGAAAAGGUGUUAGGCAUCUCUCGAUCCUGUGGUUUGACCAUAAUCGCUUGAUGGAGCGUGUCGGAUAAUUUGACAUUAUAAAAUACAUAAACCACAUAAAGCACUCAAAACAAUUAAGCGAGCAAACAAAAUAAAACAAUCCAAAAUUUAGCGUCCAAUCCAAUUUAUUACAAACCGAAAUAAAAAUACUGAAAUAACUUACACUAGACCUAAACUAUGCUUUACCCGAUGCCCCGGGCCUUGAUCACGAAUAUCCUUCACGUACAAAAUUCUUCGAGGCAUUCUCCAGUGAGUAAUACAAAUGACCUUGGGGUAUUCUCCUGCUAAAUGAAUACACUUUUCAAAUACGAUAAACAAAACAUUCAACAAAUAUUCCAAGCAUUCUAACAAUUCAAUAAUUCUAAAUUUGCCUACCCGAGCCUACCGUUUUCCUGCCUGCUCGACGACAUGUCACAUUCAACAUCAACAAUGAAUAAAAAAUAACAAUAUUCAUUUUUAUCAACUUUCAAUUUUCGUCUUCCCCAAUUCCAUCCCAAAUUCAUUCUCAAUCCAUGAUUAGCACAUGCUUAGAUUAUUAAAUCGCAUUUCAAAAUUCAAAUCCAACAUCAACCAAUAUACGAUCAAGAUUCAAACAUACCAAACACACAAAUCAAUCAUGAUUAAGCAAAAAAUUAAAGAAAAAGAAGACAGAAUUGGACCUCAAUGCCACUUUCAAUUAAAAUUGCUUUUUCCAAUUGAACCGCGUCCAAAAUCUUGAAUUGAACCUCAACGAGACAAUCAAACCCGUCUUUGAUCCACUCCCUUUUCUGGAUUAUUGCUAACCUUAACCCCAAAAAUUGCAAGAGAAACAGACAAACCCAAAUAUAAUUUCCAACCAGACUUUGAGGAUAUGGCAGGUUUGUUCAUUUCGAUAAGCCGAUUCCAGCGAUGAGUUGGCCAGAAAACUGAAUUGGGAGUCACGACUAGCAGAUCUUGGUCUAUUUUUAUUAGAGCUAGAGCUGGCUUUGUUAAUUUCGGCAAAAUUUGCCAGAAUAGAGACUGGAAUGGGGCCGUCGCCACUAGAUUUUGGUUGAGUGGUCUAUCCGGAGUUAGGAGGGGGUGAGUCUGGUGGUAUUCAUCGGUGGAGAAGGUGCUUUCCGGUGUGUUUAGCCAAGUUUUUUAGCGAGACACCACUCACUGGAAUAGUACUCUCCAAUCUCUCUCCGAAUCUCUUCUACCUCUCUCCCCCAUUCCUCUUUUCUCUCUCAAUCUCCCUUCAUUUCUCACACUCUUUUGUCAUGAUUGUGUGUGUGCAUGAAUCUUUAUAGAGUGUGUGAAAAUUGUGUGUAUUUGCUCCUCCCUGUGUUGUUAUUCCAGUGGUGUAUAUAUGUGUAGUGUGUGCUGUGUGGUGAGGUGUGUGAAUUGAAUGGAGAAGAAGCCACUCAGAAG